rnacentral:rRNA from 1 species
UUGACCUCGGAUCAGGUAGGGAUACCCGCUGAACUUAAGCAUAUCAAUAAGCGGAGGAAACGACUUGGCGGGGGGGGUAGCCCCCCGCCG